AGUUGCAAGGCUUUCAACAAAAGCCUGGAGAUACAUGAAAUAUUAUAUUGGGUCUCAAGUGUCGCACAGGCUGGAAUGCAGUGGUGUGAACACGGCUCACUGCAGCUCAACCUCCCAGGCUCAAACAAUCCUCCCACCUCCGCCUCCCAAGUAACUGGGACCACAGAGAUGGGGCCUUACUAUGUUUACACGGCUGGAUUCCACCUUCUGGACUCAAGCUAUCCUCCUGCCUCAGCCCCCUGAGUAGCUGGGACUAUAGGCAUACCUGAUCAUGCCCAACUUUCCUUUUUUGAAUGGGUGAAAAUUGGCCAAUUUUCAAGAUUCAGCUCCUCAAUGAAACCUAUCCUUUUUCAACCACCCAAACUGAUACUGUUUUCUUAUUUAUCUUAAUGCCAUAUUUAUAGUUGGCAUUUGUUAUCAUUCUAUCUUAUAGACAUACUAAGUGAAUGAAUAAAUGAGUGAAUGAUAAAAUGAAUGGAGGUAUUUCACAUUUAAAAAACUGAAUUAGAUCCAUUCUAUUUUAACUCUGAUCGUGACUGUUGAAAGUUAUAAAGCCAAGUCAGCUUUCAAGGUCAAAAGAAAUCAAGGUGAUGUGCAUAUUCUAACUUGCCCAUGGGCACAGCUGCUCCUGGCAGCUGUUAACAGAAACUUCAAAAAGGCUCAUUUCUAACAGAUUUGUGUGAAUUUUUUUUUUGAAAUUGAAAAUGUACAAAGGGAAGACCCAAAUUUUAAAAGGCAAAUUGAAUACGUGUCAAAAUCAGUCUUGGCAGAUACAAGAAAGCCAGUGUUUUAGUCCAUUUUGUGUUGCCAUAAAGGAAUAUUGGAGGCUGGAUAAUUUAUAAAGAAAAGAAGUUUAUUUGGCUCACGGUUCUGCAGGCUAUACAAGAAGCAUUGUGCUAGUGUCUGCUUCUGGUGAGAGCUUCAAGGAGCUUCCACUCAUUGUGGAAGGUGAAGGGGAGCAGGCAUCAC
rnacentral:lncRNA from 1 species